rnacentral:rRNA from 1 species
GUGCCAGCAGCCGCGGUAAUACGAGGGGGGCUAGUGUUGUUCGGAAUCACUGGGCGUAAAGGGAGCGUAGGCGGGCUUUCAAGUUAGGUGUUUAAUCCCGGGGCCCAACCCCGGACAGGCACUUAAAACUGGAAGUCUUGAAUAGUGGAGAGGUCAGUGGAAUUAGAGGUGUAGCGGUGGAAUGCGUAGAGAUCUCUAAGAACACCAGUUGCGAAGGCGGCUGACUGGACACAUAUUGACGCUGAGGCUCGAAAGCAUGGGGAGCAAACAGGAUUAGAUACCCUAGUAGUCC